rnacentral:lncRNA from 13 species
GGUCUGUAGCCCCUUUCUUUUGUCUAAUUUAUACAUUUUGGAAAGGAAGUAUUUAACCAAUACCUAAAUACCUAUAUUCCUAUUGUGUCUUAAAAGUAACUAACUUGUUUUUGACUUACAGGCUCAGAGAAGGAAGAUCCUGCUUUGUCUCAGAUGAGAUGUUGGGCUUUGGACUUUCCGGUUAAUUCCGGGUAACUCGUUUGGCUUAAGCUAAAGUAGUCUCGUAACCGGAAUAAAAUCAAAUUAAAAAACAUUCCGUGAUGUAUCAACAACUAGUCUUCUAAUACAGGGACUCAAGAGGGUGCCAGAGUGCAGAAGCUUCAGGAAAGAAACAUCCAGGAGCUACUUUUUGCCUUUUUUGCAACAGUAAACCAAUUUCUCCUCAAUGCUGUACCAUUGUAGAGGGUCUUUUUGGUAAAAAAUCCUGCCUGAAGCCUUUCUGUGAGUGCCUAGUGGAAAUAUGUAAAGAGAAGUGUUUGAAUCAGCGUUACCUCCUCUUGUGUCCAUGGCUUCUGGAGGCUCUGUGCUCUCAUGCCUGCCUACACACGGAGUUAGAAACGUUUACAAUUUUUGCUGAGUUUUUCCUGUCUGCUAGUGUGGUUUCCAGCAUCACUUUUUCCUAUGCUCUGCUACAGGUGAGUCUGUGCUCUAUCUCAUCUGUUCUUGGAGAGCCAUGUGGUUCGCUCAAUUUUAGGCUACUUACUUGCCUUGUGAACCUAGCUGUCUGAUGAGUUAAGAAAAGAGUUACAUUUUUCAAGUUAUCUAACUUUAUCUCUUAGCUAGGAUGGCAAGAAUACUUUCCAGGUUUCUGCAUCCUAGGUGGAAGAAAACUCCUUCUUUAUGUCAUAUAUCCAAUGGUAAAUCUGCACUGAUGGCUCUGAUAUACUUUGUCAAAAGAGUAAGCAACUUAUACAAAGACAAUCUUGAGGUGUUAAAAAAUCUUGACAAGCCAUUUAUAUCAUGUAAAAGUCUAAAUAUUAUCUAGCAUUGAUUUGGAAUUCUGUUUACUAUAGAUUUCUGAUUUGUUGAGAUUGGUUGUGUUUUUGAUUCAUAUGAAGCCUCCAGACCCUCUUGUCAGGCUUUUGUAAUGGCUCUCGGGGAUCGAGGGCAACACAGCAUCAGUGAAAAGCUCGGGCACCAGUGUCCCACGAGAUCCACAGGUUGGGCUGAUCUGCUCCUACAAAUCAUCACUGCUGAGAGCUGUAGUUUGUAGCUGCUUCCGCAGCAGCUCUUCUGGGCUUACUCUUCUGUGCCAUUCCCACGCACACCACCCAUGCUGCCUACCCCCUGCUUCCAACUUGAUGUUAUUGUUCUCACAACCUGUCAUUUAAAAAUGGCUAAAAGUAUUUUCUAUUUUGCAUUCCAUUUACACUUAUCAUUUUUCACUCAAGACUUUCUAUGGAGACACUUGACUUGACAAAAAUAAAUCUUUGCAGCAAAAGGGUGAAAUAUUCA